CCUACGGGUGGCAGCAGUGAGGAAUAUUGGUCAAUGGACGAGAGUCUGAACCAGCCAAGUAGCGUGAAGGAUGACUGCCCUAUGGGUUGUAAACUUCUUUUAUAUGGGAAUAAAAUGUUCCACGUGUGGGAUUUUGUAUGUACCAUAUGAAUAAGGACAGGCUAACUCCGUGCCAGCAGCCGCGGUAAUACGGAGGAUCCGAGCGUUAUCCGGAUUUAUUGGGUUUAAAGGGAGCGUAGGUGGAUUGUUAAGUCAGUUGUGAAAGUUUGCGGCUCAACCGUAAAAUUGCAGUUGAAACUGGCAGUCUUGAGUACAGUAUAGGUGGGCGGAAUUCGUGGUGUAGCGGUGAAAUGCUUAGAUAUCACGAAGAACUCCGAUUGCGAAGGCAGUUCACUGGACUGCAACUGACACUGAGGCUCGAAAGUGUGGGUAUCAAACAGGAUUAGAUACCCUUGUAGUC
rnacentral:rRNA from 1 species